GUGCUUGCUUCGACAGCAUAUUUGCUAAAAUUGGAAUGAUACAGAGAAGAUUAGGAUGGUACCUGUGCAAGGAUAAUAGGCAAAUUUGUGAAGAGUUUUUAUUUAAA